rnacentral:rRNA from 1 species
UACGUAGGUGGCAAGCGUUGUCCGGAAUUAUUGGGCGUAAAGCGCGCGCAGGCGGUCCUUUAAGUCUGAUGUGAAAGCCCACGGCUCAACCGUGGAGGGUCAUUGGAAACUGGGGGACUUGAGUGCAGGAGAGAAGAGUGGAAUUCCACGUGUAGCGGUGAAAUGCGUAGAGAUGUGGAGGAACACCAGUGGCGAAGGCGACUCUUUGGCCUGUAACUGACGCUGAGGCGCGAAAAGCGUGGGGAGCAAACAGG